CAGUCCCCCUGUGACCCUGAAUAGGAAAAGCUGUUACAGAUGAUGGAUGGAUGGAUGGAUGGAUAUCUUGAAUGGCCCAGGGUGAGGUGACGCCACUGUUCUCCACCUACACAGGAAGUGUUUUGAGAGUACCUGUCCAGCAGCGCCACAAGGCACAUCACCUCUAUGUACUCCCAGACAAUCCCUGGUCCCUGAGCACGUCGUCGUUUCCCCUCAGGCCCAUUAUCAGAUCCCCUCUGUAGGCUCCCAGCAGCUGCAGUUAUUGUGGAAGACUCGACUUUUAUAGCCCCAUGAUGUCUGCGACAACAGCAGCGUUUAUGAGUGGCCGUAUUGGGGAUCUGAGUUCUGCGGAGUGAUGGGACUGCUGAGGUGGUCAAUAAUCUAUUACGGCACACAGCCCUCAGCAGAGUGACAAAUGUCUGUCAGAGAAAUGGGCCCAGAGAGGUCACAGCUGGGCUACUGACCUCCGCCCCCUCUCCGCUGACGCAGAGCGAGAGGCAGCCAGCCAGCCACGGUGCUAUUCCAGCCGCUGUCAAUCAACAGGCUAUCAUAGCCUUUGAUGACAACGUCGUGUCGCAGCGAGAACAGCAGCUGUCUCUUAUGAGAAGUGCUCCCAGUCAAUCUGUUAGCGGGCCAAUCCGGGGCUAAUACAAUCGCCAGUUAGGAGCAGUACGUGAAAAAAAAAAGGCCUGUAGGAUUUAAUGGGCUCAGAUGAUAUAUAUCGCCUCGCUCUGUCCCUCAGAAAUAAAUACACAGAGCGGCUCAAAAAAGUGUCUCCAAAGAGAUUUUUGAUCUGGUGAUAAGGAUUUGAUAUCGGUGUAAAAUGUGAGCACCAUAAAAUCUUGAUUGCUCAAUAAUGAUGCAGUAUCAAGAUGAUUUUUCAAAGUUGAGAAUAACAUCAUAAAAAGAAGUUAAUUUUAAUCAGUGGAGUUUUAUAUCAUAAUACUUUAAUCCAUGAGGGAAACAGCUUAGAAGUGAAGGCACAAUCAACUGACUGAUUAUCAGUAUUAUCGGUGACUUUAAGUGUUAUCUGGAUGACAGAAAAUAUAGUGCAUUUUUUUAGUAAAGUCAGGUGCAGUAUAGUCGUGUUUGUCAGCUGCUCCCAUCUUUAACAGCUGCAAUAGUGUACACAUGGUGCACAUGGUGAUUAUUGGAUUUAAUUAGACUGAUUUGUUUUAUAUCCAAGGGAUGAGGAAUGAUUAAAAAAUUGGAAACCAGUUCAUCAGAUUCACUUGGCUGGGGAGAAGGGGCGGAGAGGAAUUUGGAAAAAUGUGAUACAGAAUGUUAAAACUGACUAUAAUCAUGAUUAUAAUACACUUUUACUUUAACUAAACGCCAUGAAACAAUAUAGAAAGACGUAGCAGCAGAAGCAGAGCUAAACACACUGUUUUUGUGUUCCCAUCACUAAGUUCGACCACCUUGCUGCAGAUGUUUUCGACCUACUUGCAGCUGUGUGUACUCUUUUAGGGAUCAAUCUAGCGUGAGUCAGA